UACGUAGGGCGCAAGCGUUGUCCGGAAUUAUUGGGCGUAAAGAGCUCGUAGGCGGUCUGUUGCGUCGGCUGUGAAAACCCGGGGCUCAACUCCGGGCCUGCAGCCGAUACGGGCAGACUAGAGUUCGGCAGGGGAGACUGGAAUUCCUGGUGUAGCGGUGAAAUGCGCAGAUAUCAGGAGGAACACCGGUGGCGAAGGCGGGUCACUGGGACGGUACUGACGCUGGAGACGCGAAAGCGUGGGGAGCGAACAGG
rnacentral:rRNA from 1 species